rnacentral:rRNA from 1 species
UACGAGGGGGCUAGCGUUGUUCGGAAUUACUGGGCGUAAGGCGCGCGUAGGCGGAUCGCUAAGUCAGGGGUGAAAUCCCAGGGCUCAACCCUGGAACUGCCUCUGAUACUGGCAAUCUGGAGAUCGGGAGAGGUUGGUGGAAUUCCGAGUGUAGAGGUGAAAUUCGUAGAUAUUCGGAGGAACACCAGAAGCGAAGGCGGCCAACUGGCCCGAUACUGACGCUGAGGCGCGAAAGCUAGGGUAGCAAACGGG